rnacentral:lncRNA from 1 species
CACGGCCGGGCACUCCGCGGAGCCGCGGCCGCCGGGAGGGUUCUCGGCUCGGGGGUCUGGCCCGGGGUUCCGGGUGUGCCCGUGCUGGAGAGGCGCCCGCUGGUCCCAGGCGUUGUCCCGGGGCCCUGAGGGGAGCCCGGCCCGCGGAGCGAACGGCCCCGCGCCCGCUCAGCCCCCGGGGAACGGCGGCCUCAGCCCGGGCCUGGCAGCGCCGGGGCUGCCGCUCUGCCUUUGGAGCGAUCACCGCAGCGCCUCUGCCCAAAGGUGCCUUCUUCGCUCGGCUGUGCCUGCUGAAGGUUCUGGGGGAAUCCAGGCUGAGCUGCCCAAUGGGGACACCCCACAGCAGCUGGCUCAACUCAGGAGACUCCAUGACAGAGCAGUGGCAGUCAUGAAGCAGGCACUGUCGAAUUCAGAGCUGUUCAAAUAUCAGUUGCCAUACGUGCUACGUGAGAAAUAACUCACAAACUUUCAUAUCAGCCAAAAGAAAUCAGCACCAGCGCCCACUUUCUCAGUUCCAGCAGUGGAAGGUUACGGGAACAAACCAAUGAGCUCUUGGAAGAAAGUGAGGGUGAGGAUUCUCACUCUCAGAGCCCAAGAGUCAGUUUGAAAAGAACACAAGCAAGGCUGGUAGCUGAUGCAAAAGUGCAAAGAGAUGACAGACAGAGCAUUUGUCUUGUCCCUGGGAGGAAUCACCUAUGGGACUGUGGCUCCUACUGAAAUUUGGGUGGUUCCCAGCACCUGUUAGGAAAGUACUGACCAGCUCAGCCAGAACAGUGAAUGCUGCAAGUCACAGCUGUUCCUUCUGGAUGCAAAGCAUCAUUUGUUCUACCUGCAGAAGCAAAGGGCAGGGCUCUUUAAAAACUCUACGAGUUUUCAUCUCUACUCAAGGCUCCAAUUCCCAUUGCUGCAGUACAACUCCUGACAUGCUCCAGAGUGGAUUUGCUCUCAGAUCACAGCACUGCACUGUACUUUGCAAAAGAUUCUCUGAACCAGACUGA